GUCCCUGAAGGCGAGCACACGCGCCGGCCGGUGACCGUCAUUGUUCACCUGCGCCACCUUCACGACGACACGAGCCGCGUGGGUGUGUGCGUGCGUGCGUGCGUGCGUACGUGCGUGCGUGCUGUGCGUGUCUUCUUUGGCUUUCCGAUUGCAUGCAUUUGAACUUGACACGCAAGCUCCCGUUUGGAGCGGCUUUCUAGUCACGUGAUUUUUGGCCCGUUUACAUCCAAGCAAUUUUUUUGGUCUAUUGAUUAGCGACUUUGGAUAUGCUGACCAUUCUUGGGAUGUUCUUAACUCCGCUGCGCUAGUUUUCUUUUAGUUUGCUUUAACUGCUUUGAAAGUGAAAUCUUCCCGCGCGCUCAGUGAAAACCUUUGAAUGCACGCUGCUGACGUCAUCACGACCCUUUCCGCCAUGGAAGCUUGACUUCCGGAUGUGCGCAAUGAACUUUUUCUUGACCUUUGUUUGCAGGCUGAUGACGUCACCACGCGUAGCAUCGAUGUACAGAAAGUAGUUGUUUUUUUUUAGCUUUGGUGUUGUUAGCAGCUGUUCCUUAGCUAAGAUGUAAACAAGACCAGGGAUGCUAAACGGUCACGUUUCUCAGGGGAAGUGACGACACAGAAAACGUAAAAUAAUCAAACCAGAUACGAAUAAAUAGAGGUGAGCAAUUUACUCUAUUUUGCCGUUUUGUUCGUGGCCUGGACACAUGUUGGUUUGUAUCACUGCCACCGUUCUUUCAAACCGAACAAAACUUAAGUCAGGCGGCAAAACAAGUGUAAAUUGGCCGCCACUUCAAGUCGUCAAUGAAACGGGCUGAGAUGAGAGGUUUGUUGGUGCUUGAUGACAGAUGGCCAAAAAUCGACUUCCGUCAGUGCUUACUCUGUCAUUUUUGAAAGUUUCUCAUCAUUUGUCAUCAAAAUGCACAUCCGUCAGUCUGACGGAAUGCCCACCUCUGAAAAGAAACGAGUCGAUGUUGUAAAGUGUCAGCGCCUGCAUGCUCGCUAGUAGCAGGAAGUGAACACGACGUGCGUGCACAUAGGAGAGAACGUGCACGUGUUUCUCCUGCAUUCUGCAGUAUUGUCACAUUUUAAAAAGCAAAUAAAAAAGUUCACCAUAA